rnacentral:rRNA from 1 species
UGGGGAAUAUUGCACAAUGGGGGAAACCCUGAUGCAGCGACGCCGCGUGAACGAAGAAGGUAUUCGUAUCGUAAAGUUCUGUCCUAUGGGAAGAUAAUGACAGUACCAUAGAAGAAAGCUCCGGCUAAAUACGUGCCAGCAGCCGCGGUAAUAAGUAUGGAGCGAGCGUUGUCCGGAAUUAUUGGGCGUAAAGGGUACGCAGGCGGUUUAAUAAGUCGAAUGUUAAAGAUCGGGGCUCAACCCCGCAAAGCAUUGGAAACUGAUAAGCUUGAGUAGUGGAGAGGGAAGUGGAAUUCCUAGUGUAGUGGUGAAAUACGUAGAUAUUAGGAGGAAUACCAGUAGCGAAAGCGACUUUCUGGACACAAACUGACGCUGAGGUACGAAAGCGUGGGGAGCGAACAGG